rnacentral:tRNA from 1 species
GGGCGGUUAGCUCAGCGGGAGAGCACUGCCUUCACACGGCAGGGGUCACUGGUUCAACCCCAGUACCGCCCA